GGGAGGAUAGCUCAGUGGUAGAGCACAUGAUUAGCAUACCUGAGGUGCUGGGUUCAAUCCCCAGUACCA
rnacentral:tRNA from 1 species